GGAGAGAUGGAAGGAGGAGUGAGGUAGAGGGAGAUAAGAGAGAGAGAGAGGGAGAGAUGGAAGGAGGAGUCAGGUAGAGGGAGGGAGAGAUGGAAGGAGGAGUGAGGUAGAGGGAGGGAGAGAUGGAAGGAGGAGUGAGGUAGAGGGAGAUAAGAGAGAGAGAGAGGGAGAGAUGGAAGGAGGAGUGAGGUAGAGGGAGAUAAGAGAGAGAGAGAGGGAGAGAUGGAAGGAGGAGUGAGGUAGAGGGAGAUAAGAGAGAGAGAGAGGGAGAGAUGGAAGGAGGAGUGAGGUAGAGGGAGAUAAGAGAGCGAAAGAGAG
ensembl:lncRNA